UCUCUGCAGACGUCAAGUGAUCACCCCAUUCCAUCUGCUUAUCACAAGACAGUGUGGCUGUUGAGCAGGGCAUAGGGAAGCAGGAGCAGAAACCUGGUAGCCUCCCCUUGGCCUCUCCCCUCCCAGCCAGCUGCCCCGCAGGCCAGCCUUCUGGUGUCACUGUGAUUAAUAUCUUUUUUUCUGCUGGAGUCUACGACUAACCUGGCCGUUUGGGGAAGUCUAUAAGUUAUAGCCUUACUCCUAUCAGUAAAUAAAAAAACCCUCAAGUACCAGCUUGAAUGUGUGAAUAAAGGAAGUUUUUGUGUUCACUAUAUUGACUUCCCUGUUUGAUUUAUAAUUGUCAGGAUUUUUGCCUUUGCCUUUCCAUUCCAUUGCCGUUCAGUUAGAGAGCAGCAAAGCGAGGCAGAAUGGGUAGAAAGCUGUGUCAAACCAGCGCACUGGUUUACUGAAUAUGUAUAGUUAGCAUUAUAGGGGGAAAAAUAGCAUGGGGUAGAUUUUUUUAUAGUCUUCCCUGGAAAAUAGAAGGCAGCGUAUCCAUCUUAGUAUAUUUAGAAUGAAGGUAAGAAGAAAGAAGAGGGGAGGGAAUUACACAUCACAGCUGCUUCCUAGUCUCCCAAAAGGAUUUCAGGAUCAUUCAGGAUUUUGUCAUGGAAUCAGGAGCCGUCCUUUAGCUCUUGUGCAAUGAGCUUGACUGACAAGCCGGACGAAGAUGCAUUCAAGAGCCUACCCUGUGUGAAAAGCUGCUGCAGAAUUGGAGAAGUCUCAGGUAUGCUACGUGACAUCACCCUCCCCACACCUGCAUGAACCAGAGAGCCACCCUUUGUGUUUCCAUUGUUUUGGGAAGUGGGAACAGUUCUGGGCCUGUAACCACUAAAAGCCAUUGUCAUGGCAAGACAGAGUGACUAGAUUGUUUGUAACUAACUCACAACAAAGAGGUUUUUAACCACAAUUUAAAAAAAACCUUAACAUUGCAUGCGGACCUGUUUUCAAAGCAACUUCAUUGUAAUAUAACAUUAAUAUGAUCUGGUGUCAGCAGUAAGAUCCAUAUUAAAUGGCCAGGUUAAAUGUGUUGGUCAGGUGGAGUGCCACUAUCUCAUAGGUCAGUAGAUCGGUGUGGUGUGUUGGAAGGUGUUUAAAAUGUAAACACUAUUGCACUGCAUACUAGAUGAACCCCUUUCCAGCUACCUACGUAGACCCUAGGGUUACCAUAGGACUCCAUGGACACUAGGACAGUUUGGGACAGUUCAGGCUUUUCA